rnacentral:rRNA from 1 species
GAUGAACGCUGGCGGCGUGCCUAAUACAUGCAAGUCGAGCGAACAGACGAGGAGCUUGCUCCUCUGACGUUGGCGGCGGACGGGUGAGUAACACGUGGAUAACCUACCUAUAAGACUGGGAUAACUUCGGGAAACCGGAGCUAAUACCGGAUAAUAUAUUGAACCGCAUGGUUCAAUAGUGAAAGACGGUUUUGCUGUCACUUAUAGAUGGAUCCGCGCCGCAUUAGCUAGUUGGUAAGGUAACGGCUUACCAAGGCAACGAUGCGUAGCCGACCUGAGAGGGUGAUCGGCCACACUGGAGCUGAGACACGGUCCAGGCUCCUACGGGAGGCAGCAGUAGGGAAUCUUCCGCAAUGGGCGAAAGCCUGACGGAGCAACGCCGCGUGAGUGAUGAAGGUCUUCGGAUCGUAAAACUCUGUUAUUAGGGAAGAACAAAUGUGUAAGUAACUAUGCACGUCUUGACGGUACCUAAUCAGAAAGCCACGGCUAACUACGUG